AGUGAACGCUGGCGGUAGGCCUAACACAUGCAAGUCGAACGGCAGCACAGUAAGAGCUUGCUCUUACGGGUGGCGAGUGGCGGACGGGUGAGGAAUACAUCGGAAUCUACUUUUUCGUGGGGGAUAACGUAGGGAAACUUACGCUAAUACCGCAUACGACCUACGGGUGAAAGCAGGGGAUCUUCGGACCUUGCGUGAUUGAAUGAGCCGAUGUCGGAUUAGCUAGUUGGCGGGGUAAAGGCCCACCAAGGCGACGAUCCGUAGCUGGUCUGAGAGGAUGAUCGGCCACACUGGAACUGAGACACGGUCCAGACUCCUACGGGAGGCAGCAGUGGGGAAUAUUGGACAAUGGGCGCAAGCCUGAUCCAGCCAUACCGCGUGGGUGAAGAAGGCCUUCGGGUUGUAAAGCCCUUUUGUUGGGAAAGAAAAGCAGCAGGUUAAUACCCCGCUGUUCUGACGGUACCCAAAGAAUAAGCACCGGCUAACUUCGUG
rnacentral:rRNA from 1 species